rnacentral:rRNA from 1 species
GACGAACGCUGGCGGCGUGCUUAACACAUGCAAGUCGAACGGAAAGGCCCUGCUUUUGUGGGGUGCUCGAGUGGCGAACGGGUGAGUAACACGUGAGUAACCUGCCCUUGACUUUGGGAUAACUUCAGGAAACUGGGGCUAAUACCGGAUAGGAGCUCCUGCUGCAUGGUGGGGGUUGGAAAGUUUCGGCGGUUGGGGAUGGACUCGCGGCUUAUCAGCUUGUUGGUGGGGUAGUGGCUUACCAAGGCUUUGACGGGUAGCCGGCCUGAGAGGGUGACCGGCCACAUUGGGACUGAGAUACGGCCCAGACUCCUACGGGAGGCAGCAGUGGGGAAUAUUGCACAAUGGGCGGAAGCCUGAUGCAGCAACGCCGCGUGCGGGAUGACGGCCUUCGGGUUGUAAACCGCUUUCGCCUGUGACGAAGCGUGAGUGACGGUAAUGGGUAAAGAAGCACCGGCUAACUACGUGCCAGCAGCCGCGGUGAUACGUAGGGUGCGAGCGUUGUCCGGAUUUAUUGGGCGUAAAGGGCUCGUAGGUGGUUGAUCGCGUCGGAAGUGUAAUCUUGGGGCUUAACCCUGAGCGUGCUUUCGAUACGGGUUGACUUGAGGAAGGUAGGGGAGAAUGGAAUUCCUGGUGGAGCGGUGGAAUGCGCAGAUAUCAGGAGGAACACCAGUGGCGAAGGCGGUUCUCUGGGCCUUUCCUGACGCUGAGGAGCGAAAGCGUGGGGAGCGAACAGGCUUAGAUACCCUGGUAGUCCACGCUGUAAACGGUGGGUACUAGGUGUGGGGUCCAUUCCACGGGUUCCGUGCCGUAGCUAACGCUUUAAGUACCCCGCCUGGGGAGUACGGCCGCAAGGCUAAAACUCAAAGGAAUUGACGGGGCCCCGCACAAGCGGCGGAGCAUGCGGAUUAAUUCGAUGCAACGCGUAGAACCUUACCUGGGUUUGACAUGGAUCGGGAGUGCUCAGAGAUGGGUGUGCCUCUUUUGGGGUCGGUUCACAGGUGGUGCAUGGCUGUCGUCAGCUCGUGUCGUGAGAUGUUGGGUUAAGUCCCGCAACGAGCGCAACCCUUGUUCACUGUUGCCAGCACGUUAUGGUGGGGACUCAGUGGAGACCGCCGGGGUCAACUCGGUGGAAGGUGGGGAUGACGUCAAGUCAUCAUGCCCCUUAUGUCCAGGGCUUCACGCAUGCUACAAUGGCUGGUACAGAGAGUGGCGAGCCUGUGAGGGUGAGCGAAUCUCGGAAAGCCGGUCUCAGUUCGGAUUGGGGUCUGCAACUCGACCUCAUGAAGUCGGAGUCGCUAGUAAUCGCAGAUCAGCAACGCUGCGGUGAAUACGUUCCCGGGGCU